rnacentral:rRNA from 1 species
CAGUCGCCGCGGUAAUACGAAGGGGGCUAGCGUUGUUCGGAAUUACUGGGCGUAAAGCGCACGUAGGCGGAUAUUUAAGUCAGGGGUGAAAUCCCAGAGCUCAACUCUGGAACUGCCUUUGAUACUGGGUAUCUUGAGUAUGGAAGAGGUGAGUGGAAUUCCGAGUGUAGAGGUGGAAUUCGUAGAUAUUCGGAGGAACACCAGUGGCGAAGGCGGCUCACUGGUCCAUUACUGACGCUGAGGUGCGAAAGCGUGGGGAGCAAACAGGAUUAGAUACCCCAGUAGUCCCUGUCUCUUAUAC